AGUGAACGCUGGCGGUAGGCCUAACACAUGCAAGUCGAACGGCAGCACAGUAAGAGCUUGCUCUUACGGGUGGCGAGUGGCGGACGGGUGAGGAAUACAUCGGAAUCUACUUUUUCGUGGGGGAUAACGUAGGGAAACUUAAGCUAAUACCGCAUACGACCUACGGGUGAAAGCAGGGGAUCUUCUGACCUUGCGCGAUUGAAUGAGCCGAUGUCGGAUUAGCUAGUUGGCGGGGUAAAGGCCCACCAAGGCGACGAUCCGUAGCUGGUCUGAGAGGAUGAUCAGCCACACUGGAACUGAGGCACGGUCCAGACUCCUACGGGAGGCAGCAGUGGGGAAUAUUGGACAAUGGGCGCAAGCCUGAUCCAGCCAUACCGCGUGGGUGAAGAAGGCCUUCGGGUUGUAAAGCCCUUUUGUUGGGAAAGAAAAGCAGCAGGUUAAUACCCCGCUGUUCUGACGGUACCCAAAGAAUAAGCACCGGCUAACUUCGUG
rnacentral:rRNA from 1 species